rnacentral:lncRNA from 1 species
GGUUGGAGCCGGUAAAGAGGAUGGUGCUUAUUAGGGCUAUGCAAAGGCAGAAGCUGGUGAUGCUGGAGAAGAGGAGGAAGGCCCAGGAAAGGUCCAGCAAGUCUGGGGAAGGAAGAUAAUCAGGAACACCAUGAUUGGCCCAGGCUCUGAGUAUGGGGACAAGGGUCACCAGUUGGUGUGGGAGUAUUCUCAAAGCUCCUCCCUUGCAAAUUAUUUAUUCUCAUUUUAGGAAAAUUUAAAUUGGUCUCCAGAGAAGAGACAUUGAGACUGAUACUUCCAGCACUGAGGAUCUACCUCUAGAAGUCUAGCUCAGAACUUGGCCUCCGGCCUGGGCACUGCCUCAUACCUGCCAGAAUUGAUCUCAAUGGAGCUGCACAAUGAAAGGUUUUGCAUGUUGUCUAGAGGACUUUGGUUGAGUUCAGAGCUGAGCACACUUGCCUUCAGACUCUCCUGGGACUCCCAGGUAACUGAUUCAAUGCUUUUGAUACUGGGCUCGGGGCCAUAGGUAAGUGAUGGGAGCACAUUGACAAUGGCCCGGGCUUGGAAGUUGGGGGUUGGAACACUUAAAUGGGCAGUCUCGGUUGUUGACAGGUAGUUUUGGUCAUGAUCUUUGUUGCUGGGGAUAAUUGAUGAUUAGUCAGCGGGUGAGAGCCUUGGAUACUGAAGCAGCGAGUUUGGAAAAUUGGUGAAGCACCUCGCAUACUGAAAUCGUGGCUGUAGGUAAUGGCCGGUGUUUCUGGGAUACUGAUCUGUUGACUGCUGAUAGCUGGUGUAGGGUCUUGGAUACUGACCUGGUGAUUGUGAAUAAUUGGCAAGGGGUCUUGGAUACUGACCAGGCGAUUGCUGCUGGCUGGUGGAGGCUGUUGGAUACCGACCCCGUGACUGUUCCUGGCUGGUGGAGGGUCUUGGAUACUGACCCGGGAAUUGUAGGUAAUUGGCACCACCAUGCCUGGCUAAUUUUUUUGUAAUUUUAGCACAGAUGG